AUGUUUGCCUUUUCACUUCCCUGCAAACAGCUAACUCUUUACGUUAAAUUCUCUCUGUUGGAUAAUUUGUGUGGUUUCUCUCUUUCGAGCUGGACUCUGACUGAAGCAGACAUGCCACCUUACGUCUUCCAUGAGAAGGACCGUAGGUUUCUGGCACAGUCCAAGUGUCCAGAGGAUUGUCAACACUCGUAUCAAUGGGCCCGUAGCUCCUGGAUUCCAGGGAAGGCAUCACUCCUCGUGGCUCUUACCCUCCUCCUGGGGUCAGCAGAAAGGCUGGAGCAGCUCUUCUCACAGAAGGGUCAAGAGGUCAAGUGGAGGCGUGAGAAGCAUCUUCGGGCCUAUGCUUGACACUGGCACAUUGUCCCUUGUUGGCCUAAGAGAGUGACAAAGACAAGAAAUGGGGACGUGCACUCUAUACAUGGACAUGGUGAUAGGAGAGGGGAUUCAUAGCUCUGAUCUAAUCUCUCUCUCUCUACAUCUGCGUACAUGGAGCUUUUCAAAUUGUGUAGAUUUCAAAGCAAUAAGUGGAGGUAAACCAAAGCAGACACAGGCCCUCCAACAAGCUUGUCAAGUUUGUCUCAAUGUGGAGAAGCAAAACCAAACUGACAGAUUCUUAACAAUCUGGACCAAUUUUCAAGAUCUCUCUCUUACAGCCAAAGGAAUUUGAAAUUUACACCAAUCCAAGGUUGUUUUGGAGACUAUUUUUGUGGACCAAAUUUACUCAGAAGUUUUAUGAAAACAGCUACACAUUCACUUCCAACUUGAACUAGUGAAGUGCUUUAAAAUCCUUUAAAUCUGAUAAACAAUGAGAUCCUGCUGUCUAGCCUUGGGAACUAUAUCUAGUCACUAUGACGGAACAUGACGGAGGAUCAUGUCAGAAGAUGAAGGGGACCAAUGAGAGUAUUGGGGACUAAAUGAUUCUGCCUCCUCUGUACACCGUGUUCCGAGGAUCUCAUGUGGUACCAUGAACUCUGUGGGUGCUUGACAGAUACCUGGGUUACUUCUUGACUCUCAGCUAUUGAGAGCUAAGCAGAGCUAAACCAAGACAGAGUCAAAUAUCAGGCAUUUAAGAAGGCGAAUUAGAGCAUGGCUACAAGUGUUUAUGUGAGUGUUUGUGCAUAUAGAGCUCUCUGUUCCAAAACAGAUGAACAAGAAUUUGGUUUCAUUUCACAUUAGCUAUUUCUUUUCUCUUUCUUAGGGGUAUGAUUGAAACUUCCCAUCUUUUCACAGGUCUGCAGAGUCACCUCAGAAAUGUUACUUUGUUAUAUUAUAACAAAUCUUUAACAAAGUUAAAUAUUGCUAUGACC
rnacentral:lncRNA from 1 species